rnacentral:lncRNA from 1 species
UGAGGCCUCUGCGCCAGCAGCCCCCCACGCGGACGCGGACGCGAACCCGCGCUCUGUCUCCCGAAGCGAAGCUCAGAGGAUGACUCAGGUUCUCCCCUCCAACAGUUUCCUGUGACAUUCAUCCAGGCUCUCUGUCUACCAAGAAGAGCAAGUCUCACAGGUAUGGAUCUCUGGCGGGUGUUCUUAACCUUGGCACUGGCGGUCUCCAUCGACGCAUUUUCUGGAAAUGGGGGUCUGGAUCAAAAUAUUUUAUUUUCAAUGUCCCUCUUUCAAUGUAAGGCAAACUAAAAAUAAAGAUGAGGAAUUAAAUAAAAA